GUGAAUGAGAGAGCGAGAGAGCGAGAGAGCGAGAGGGCGAGAGAGCGAGUGAUAUAUUAUACGUCUAUGCGUGCAGCGCAUAGCGAUCCGAGAGCGAGACAUCAGUGGGUCUCAUGUUCAAUAACUCAUAUGGAAAACUUUGGUAUAGUAUUUUAACGCCAUCUAAUAGUUUACCCUCAAGAAAUCGGAACUAAGUAGUCAAAUUCAAUAUGGCGCAUCAAUCUGCAAGAAGGGAGAACACGUGAGAUUUUCGAGUGCGUAGUUCGACGCAAAAAUACUUCUUACUGCAUCGAACAGUGUAACGCUGUUGAAACAUUGGCUUCCAUCUACCUGUGUCGCUGUUGGAACAUUGGCUUCCAUCUAUCUGUGUCACUGUUGAAACAUUGGCUUCCAUCUACUUGUGUCGCUGUUGGAACAUUGGAUUUGAGUGUGUUUGCCAAUUUGAAGAAUAUCGCCACAAUUGCGACAGCUCGUACAAAUCAAUCCAUUAGAGAGAAAUGCAUGUAUAUGCAUCACUAGAUCAUUGUAUUACGUUGCCAUUACGUUAACGCAGGUAUUCAUUCAAAGUUAGUAAAAAUUGCUGUUUUAGCUCUGGCGUCUUAAAUAUUCCAUUUAUUUAUCAACUUUUUUGUCAUUUUAUUGAUAAACGUGUAUCUAAUGAAAUGUUUCACUUUCUAUCGAGAUAUCUAAUUUAGAAAUGUAAGAGAUGAUGUCGCGAUUUCCGUCAUUAAUUACUUUGCACAGCAUGUUGUAUGUAUUAAGUUACAUCAUGUAUUUACAUACAGGGCAUUUUAUAACUAAUGUAACUUAUAUAAUUGUCUAUGAAUAGCUAUAUGUUGGAUAUGCAUACUUUUCUAAUGUUUUAAAUGUAGAAGAGCAGUAUUAAUA